rnacentral:tRNA from 3 species
UGUUAAGGUGGCAGAGCCCGGUAAUUGCGUAAAACUUAAAACUUUAUAAUCAGAGAUUCAAAUCCUCUCCUUAACAA